CAAAGCGGUAUGGAGAUCAUGUCAUGUCAUGUGUUCCAGAAGUUCCAACCUUUUUUUUAUGUUCAAAUAAUUAAAAUACGUAAUAAAACUGAAAUCCAUUAAUAUCUGUGUGUCCCAACGCCAAGUUUUAUCUCAACCGUAUAAGCUCGUUAUCUUCCUUAACUCGCGUGCCUUUCGCUCUGACUUUGCAAUUUCACGAGAAACAAACAGAAACUCGUACCAACUUUAUUCCUAAAUUAAAAAAAAAAAAAGGACAAGAUUGUAGUAGUCUAGCUUAUGGAUCAUUCAGCUGCUGCUCAACGUCGCAUAAAGGCCAUUCAAGCUCACCUCAUCUCCUCUGUUGAUUCUGCUUCUCAACUCUGUCAUAAUCUUACAGCCGGCGAAUUCGUCUACGAGCAGGGGUAUAGUGUUGUGCUUCCAGAGAGACUGCACACAGGAAAGUGGAAUGUAUAUAGAUCAGCUCACUCUCCAUUAAAGCUUGUGAGUAGAUUCACUGAGCAUCCCAAAAUUGCUACUUUGCAUGACAAUUUUGUGCAUGCGGUUAAUACUUUCCGAGACAACAGAUAUUUGGGAACCCGUGUCCGGGGUGAUGGGACAGUUGGAGAGUACAAAUGGAUGACAUAUGGAGAGGCUGGUAAUGCCCGGACAGCUCUAGGUUCUGGCCUAAUUUAUCAUGGAAUACCAAAGGGAUCUUGCAUUGGAAUUUAUUUCAUCAAUAGACCGGAGUGGCUAAUUGUUGAUCAUGCCUGCUCUGCAUAUUCUUACAUAUCUGUUCCUUUAUACGAUACUCUUGGUCCGGAUGCAGUCAAGUACAUUGUAAACCAUGCCUCUAUACAAGCCAUAUUUUGUGUGUCUGAGACAUUGAAUUCUUUGCUGAGCUACUUGGCUGAGAUCCCAACCGUUCAUCUAGUUGUGGUUGUUGGUGGGAUGGAUGAUCAAAUUCCAUCUCUUCCAUCUUCAACUGGAGUUCAGGUUGUAACACACACCAAAUUACUUAGUCAGGGCUGCAGUAACCUUCAGCCUUUUUCUCCUCCAAAUCCUGAUGAUGUGGCAACAAUUUGCUACACAAGUGGUACAACAGGGACACCUAAGGGGGCUGUAUUGACACAUGCAAACUUGAUUGCGAAUGUUGCUGGGGGUACUGUUGCUACUAAAUGCUCACCCUCUGAUGUUUAUAUAUCCUAUCUUCCUCUGGCACAUAUUUAUGAACGCGCAAACCAAGUCAUGGUAGUUUAUUUUGGAGCUUCUGUUGGAUUUUACCAGGGGGACAGCAUGAAGUUGAUGGAUGAUUUGGCAGCUCUAAGACCCACUGUAUUCUGCAGUGUUCCUCGCCUGUAUAAUAGAAUAUAUGCUAGCAUCACAAAUGCUGUAAAGACAUCUGGUGUGCUAAAGGAGAGGCUGUUUAAUGCAGCAUACAACUCUAAGAAGCAAGCUUUAUUGAGUGGUAAGAAUCCAUCUCCCAUCUGGGACAAAUUGGUAUUCAACAAGAUAAGAGAUAAACUUGGAGGACGAGUUCGCCUUAUGGUUUCAGGUGCUUCACCAUUAUCUCCUGAUGUCAUGGACUUUUUGAAAAUCUGCUUUGGUGGGCGAGUAUCUGAAGGAUAUGGAAUGACUGAGACUUCAUGUUUAAUAAGUGCUGUAGACGAGGGUGACAACCUCUCUGGUCAUGUUGGCUCUCCAAGUCCAGCAUGUGAGAUCAAGCUUGUGGAUGUCCCAGAGAUGAACUAUACAUCUGAUGAUCAGCCUUAUCCUCGAGGUGAAAUCUGUGUCAGGGGUCCCAUUGUUUUCAAAGGCUAUUAUAAAGAUGAAGCGCAGACGAAAGAAGUUAUCGAUGAAGGUGGAUGGCUUCACACGGGAGAUAUAGGGUUGUGGUUACCUGGAGGUCGUCUAAAGAUUAUUGAUAGGAAGAAGAACAUCUUUAAGUUAGCUCAGGGAGAGUACAUAGCUCCAGAGAAAAUUGAGAAUGUGUAUGCCAAGUGCAAGUUUGUUGCACAAUGCUUUGUCUAUGGUGACAGCCUAAAUUCUUCUUUGGUAGCCAUUGUCUCAGUGGAUCAAGAUGUUCUAAAAGCAUGGGCGGCAUCUGAAGGCAUUAAGUGCAGUAUAAAGAUCUAGGGCAACUGUGCAAUGACCCAAGAACAAAAGCAGCUGUCCUGGCUGACAUGGAUGCGAUUGGAAGAGAAGCGCAGCUAAGAGGCUUUGAAUUUGUUAAAGCUGUGACAUUAGUACAUGAACCGUUCACAUUGGAAAAUGGUCUGGUCACUCCGACAUUUAAGAUAAAGAGACCUCAAGCAAAGCAAUACUUUGCAAAAGCUAUAUCAGAUAUGUAUGCACAACUGGUCAUAGCUGAUGAUUCCUCUCCGCGGACAAAAUUGUGAAAAGCAUAAGAGACGAGAGAAAUGUGGAAAACCCAGACAAUGCAUUUCAAAGCAGAGCUUUGGCUGGCACCACUCAAUAAUAAGAUGACAUGGUGAAAAGGGUUCAAAGCCGUUACACUACUAAUUCCUCCCCUAUUUGUUAGUUUAAUUUGUAUUGAUUAAAAUAAUAUAAAUGUAUGUACUUUUUUCCCCACAAAAUUUUCAAAGAAAAACAGAAGAAUGUCAGCCGCGAUAAAUUCGGGUGUUGUAUACAUUGUAUUUGAUUCUAGGACUCAUUUUGCCAUUAAAAAUAAUUCAAAAUUCUGUGAUCGGGUUUACUGAUAA